rnacentral:rRNA from 1 species
GCAGUGAGGAAUAUUGGUCAAUGGGCGCAAGCCUGAACCAGCCAAGUAGCGUGAAGGAUGAAGGCUCUAUGGGUCGUAAACUUCUUUUAUAUAAGAAUAAAGUGCAGUAUGUAUACUGUUUUGUAUGUAUUAUAUGAAUAAGGAUCGGCUAACUCCGUGCCAGCAGCCGCGGUAAUACGGAGGAUCCNAGCGUUAUCCGGAUUUAUUGGGUUUAAAGGGAGCGUAGGUGGACUGGUAAGUCAGUUGUGAAAGUUUGCGGCUCAACCGUAAAAUUGCAGUUGAUACUGUCAGUCUUGAGUACAGUAGAGGUGGGCGGAAUUCGUGGUGUAGCGGUGAAAUGCUUAGAUAUCACGAAGAACUCCGAUUGCGAAGGCAGCUCACUGGACUGCAACUGACACUGAUGCUCGAAAGUGUGGGUAUCAAACAGGAUUAGAUACCCUGGUAGUCCACACAGUAAACGAUGAAUACUCGCUGUUUGCGAUAUACAGUAAGCGGCCAAGCGAAAGCAUUAAGUAUUCCACCUGGGGAGUACGCCGGCAACGGUGAAACUCAAAGGAAUUGACGGGGGCCCGCACAAGCGGAGGAACAUGUGGUUUAAUUCGAUGAUACGCGAGGAACCUUACCCGGGCUUAAAUUGCAGUGGAAUGAUGUGGAAACAUGUCAGUGAGCAAUCACCGCUGUGAAGGUGCUGCAUGGUUGUCGUCAGCUCGUGCCGUGAGGUGUCGGCUUAAGUGCCAUAACGAGCGCAACCCUUAUCUUUAGUUACUAACAGGUUAUGCUGAGGACUCUAGAGAGACUGCCGUCGUAAGAUGUGAGGAAGGUGGGGAUGACGUCAAAUCAGCACGGCCCUUACGUCCGGGGCUACACACGUGUUACAAUGGGGGGUACA